UGGUUUAACAUCUCACACCAGAACUGAAAAUUCUACUGCAACGUUUGAUAUUAAGCAUUUACCACAAUUGUAUCAGUGAAAACAAAAACAGAGCAACGGUGACAAACCAGCAUGUUGUUCAAACGCCAGAUGGCAGAGGCGUUCCUAACAUUUCUCAGUGACCAUUGAGUUGGACAGGAAUAUCUGCUAUUUGGACCACCUAAUAAAUAUCUAUUCAAGUCAGAACGUGCAUGUUGCAGUUCCUACCAUCACUCUAAAGAUUAUGUUAUGAUAUAUGAUAUUGUAAACAAUGCAGCUACAGAGAGAAAAAGUUGAUGAAGUAACUCAUUUUGACAACGUAGCAUUGAUGGUAUACGCGUCAAUACGGUAAGAGAG